UACAGAGGGGGCAAGCGUUGCUCGGAAUCACUGGGCGUAAAGGGCGCGUAGGCGGGCUGGCAAGUCAGUCGUGAAAUCUCUCGGCUCAACCGAGAAACGUCGGCUGAUACUGCCGUUCUUGAGGGAUGCAGAGGAGACUGGAAUUCCCGGUGUAGCGGUGAAAUGUGUAGAGAUCGGGAGGAACACCGGUGGCGAAGGCAGCCCCCUGGGCUGACACUGACGCUCAGGCACGAAAGCGUGGGGAGCAAACAGG
rnacentral:rRNA from 1 species